AUUGAACGCUGGCGGCAGGCCUAACGCAUGCAAGUCGAGCGGCAGCGGAAAGUAGCUUGCUACUUUGCCGGCGAGCGGCGGACGGGUGAGUAAUGUCUGGGACACUGCCUGAUGGAGGGGGAUAACUACUGGAAACGGUAGCUAAUACCGCAUAACGUCGCAAGACCAAAGAGGGGGACCUUCGGGCCUCUUGCCAUCCGAUGUGCCCAGAUGGGAUUAGCUAGUAGGUGGGGUAACGGCUCACCUAGGCGACGAUCCCUAGCGGGUCUGAGAGGAUGAACAGCCACACUGGAACUGAGACACGGUCCAGACUCCUAAGGGAGGCAGCAGUGGGGAAUAUUGCACAAUGGGCGCAAGCCUGAUGCAGCCAUGCCGCGUGUAUGAAGAAGGCCUUCGGGUUGUAAAGUACUUUCAGCGGGGAGGAAGGUGUUGAGGUUAAUAACCUCAGCAAUUGACGUUACCCGCAGAAGAAGCACCGGCUAACUCCGUGCCAGCCGCCGCCGUAAUAC
rnacentral:rRNA from 1 species